AGAGGGGCUCGCAGCCCCCGCAGCCCCCGGCCCGGCUCCGCAACCCCGGCCCCGCCGCCGGCGCGCGGAAGAAGGGAGAGAAAGGACCUACUUUUGGGCAGUUUUCUCGCCCUCGCCUUGGAUCUCAUCGUGUCGGCGUGUGGAUUCCUCUCCUCCUCCUUGAGCCCAGAAGCAGCUACACACUAUCUUCAUCUCCCCAGCAUUGUCAGUUUGGACACCUUCGCACAUGCGCACAGAGCAUUCAAUCUGACACCCUCACCAGGGCCAAAAAAACUUUCCAAUGUAUUCAUCAUCAUCAGGCUGCACCCAUCACAGCCUUCCCCUGAUCUGCCCCUUUAAGAAAAAUCAGCCCUCUCCGCUCCUCACCCUCCGCACACUGACCUUACACACUGGACAAUAUUUAAGGAUCAAGGUGCCAUCCUAGGAAGAGAAGAAAUCACUGGCUCCUCUGGCCAUGAGAAAACACCGUGUAAAUUGCCAUUUCAGAUUUUUCAAAAAACAUGUUCAGCUCUAAGAAUUCUUCCGAAUUCGUUACACUCCACCGCGCGAGGCUGCGCCUUGAUGGCCCCGGCGAAGAAUUACUUUUCUGGAAGAGCUUUCCAAGCAUCCUCCCCACCCCGCAAGUCAUAAUUAAGAACACUUUUUUUCUAACAAACAGGAAAAGUAAAGAAUCAAACCGUUCUCCGAAUAUGCCUUUUUUCUUUAAACACCGAGUUCUAAAAUCGGAAAUAUUUAUCUGUUCCAAAUACACCUGAAAAACUCUCGGUGCUGGAUAGACGCUGCUUUUCUACAGCAGAAGGAAUUAAAACGGUGAGAUUUUGAUGCAAGGAGGAUCUCUGCGAGCAUAAAGUGAACGCAAAACUCAACUCUUACUGGGUUUGCAAAAUCUGUUUACAAGGCGACAUGAUCUCUGCCUUCAAACACUCCCUUCCACACACACUCCCCCGCAGUUGUCUUUUCAGGAUUAAAAGAAGAUGAUCCAACGGGCUAAGGAUAUAAAAGUCCUUUUGGGAACGCGAUAAACUGCAAAAAGCCAGUGGCAACUCAUUUCUGAUUAACUCCUUUUUAUAAAGGGGUGGAAUGGAAGCGAACAGGGACCCGACGGGACACGAACAUAUUUUAUUCAUUUAAUACAAAGCAGCUUUAAAAAAAAAAAAAAAUCUUUAAAAAGGCAGUUCAGAGCAUAACUCACGGGCCGGGGGGGAAGGCAAAAAGCUGAUGGGGUGUGAGGUGAUGUCGCCGUCAUCCCUCGCUCCCGGGAGAGCGGGCAGCGCUCCGGGCAGCGGGAGGGACGCGCUCCCCGGGCUGCGGCCACCCCACUGGGGCUGGGAGGUGGGGACACAGCCCCGGCCCCCCGGGACCCCCGGCGGGGCAGCCCCUUUGCUGGGGACCCCCCCAGCAGGACCCCGGCUCUCCCAGCUCCCCUUAAAGGCGGCAUCAAUGAAAUCAUGUAAGUGCCCAGAGCACAAAGAGCUCCUGUCCUCGGCUCUGCAGAUCAUAACCAGAGAUGGGAAAGUAUUUACAGCACCCUCCAAGUGACUGGGCCAUCGCUACCAAAAAAAUAAUAUUUUUAACCACAGGGAACCAAGAGUUCACGUAGAUUUACAAAUUAAUGAGGACUUACUGGAGAAAGUAACUGCAAGAACAUGUGUUAAAACGCACCAGAAAGAAUUCCAUCGAUUUCCAUGAGAGGUGGACCGCAUCCAGGAAGAAUGAGUCAACUUCAUUCCUUGGGUAAAGCUCACAAACUGAAGGGAAUUACUCCAGGCAUGCAUUUGGAUCACCCCGUGUCCCCCCAUUUCAUGUAUUGCUGUCCCACUAAUCACCCCCUAAACGUUGUGAUGGGUUAGAACAGGGUGGGGAUUCUUUUAAAAAGUGCUUUAAAUCACUGGAAAUUAGCGUUUUAACAAAUAUAUUUUCACCCGAUAUAACAUCAGUUACAAGUAAUUGUUCAGCCAAAAAGGCUCUCACCCACGAGACAACACAAUGCAGUGCAGGGCAGAACAGCUCAGGGCACAAAUAGGAACAGAGUCACAGGGAUUCUCUCCUGUGUUCUGGCUGUUUGUCCUGCUGCUAAAUCUCGUUUCUCCUCUCCCCACAGUUUGUGUGUUAAACUGUGCAAGGUUUUGGUUUCAUUUCCGUGGAGGAGGUGAAAGCUCUUGAAGCCACUGAAAAGUUCCCUCCCCAGCUCCAUUCCCCUGCUGCAGGGAGAUGCUGUUCACCUCAGAGCAAUGAGCAGCACCUCUAAUCGAGACAGAAACCCUUCUGCAGCCACACAGGCACAGUCCCUGUGUUUUACUUCGCAGGUGGAAGAACAAACUACCCAUUAAUUUAAGAGAUUUGGGUUGAAACCUCAGAACACUGUGAUGGGAGCAACGAGAAGACACUGCCAGAGUUCUGCUCUUUGCCUUCAGAAGCCCUGAAUUUCACACAGACCCUCCCAUAACUUCCAUUAACACACAAAGGACAUAUCAAACAUUUAGAAACAAGGUCAUCAGGCUUCUCAGCCUUACCGGUGGCUCUUUAGCCCACAGAUUUGCUACAGGAGAGCUUGUGGCAGUCCCCCAGGAGUGCCACAGGUUUGUGGAUGAUAAUAACGAGGUGCAGCUCGUGAUAAGCUAAUCAAUGAACAUUUAAAAGCCAAGCUCCAAAGACAUGCUUAGAAAAUUAAAUGCAAAUAUAUACAAAAUAGUCAAUGGUUUCUAUGAAUAUAAAUGUCUGUCUACCUCAUGACUGCUAUUUUCCAGCCAGCUUUCCAACCAGUGCAGUCUUUGCACUUCUCUAUCUACAAUUGUACCAUUUAUAAGCCAGGAGCCCACCUCGCCCAUGUGCUUGUUCCUGCAGUGACUCAUGUUCCAUUGGGUUUAUUCCUGUGAAGACCUGUGCUAAAACAGAGGAAAGAGCAGAACCUUUGGAAAAGGAAUGGCACAGUUUGGAAAGCAUCAGACACGCUCACUGUUCCCUGUCAGAAAAUGAGAGCUCUGAUUUACAUCCCCUGUGAGAAAAAGGCUUUUACAAUUGCUACGGCCUUAAAAAAUAAAAUAUUACUUUGAUAACUGGGUCAAAAGUCUUGCUGAACAACACUGGCACAGGUCGACCAGAGAAUCUGUGGCUACCCCAUCCCUGGAAGUGACCAAGGCCACCAGCUCCAGAAAACCCUGGUUGAUUCUCAACAACCUCCUCAGAGCACAGCAGCACUGUUCCCUGAUGGACACCCCCUCAUGGUUUCACUCCAGAUCCUCUCAGUGCCCUCAAAUACAUCAUGAGUUGCUCCACUGCCUUUCAGCUGCAGUUUUGCUCCUUCAGUAUAAAUGAGAUGGGGAAGUAGUUUCAUUUCUCUGAAGUCUAAAGUUAAAUAGAGUGAACUGAGAAGUUCCUUGCAAAAUAAUGGAGUGAGAUCAUCCAUACAAUGAUUUAAAUAUGUUAAGGAAACCCCUGUCUGAUCAUCCAGGAGCUGCUCUGGCAGUCCCACUCCCAGCACCAGAGACUUUUCCUGCUGGGACUGAAGCCCUCCAGGAGCCACCAGGAGCUCCCCACACACCCCACUGCCACAGCCAGACCAGGUUUCCUCACGGCUUCAAGCCCAGGUUUAGCAGAGUCUCAGAUGUCUCGCUCCAUAAAGCCAUUUAUCUGUGGCACAGGAACUCCAACAGCCCGAGCCGGUGCUUCUGAGGAGGGACCCUGAGCAAAGGACCCCCUGGGCUCUCAUCCCCUCCCAGUCCAAGCUGUUCUUCUGAACCACUGGCUCCUGGUGUCUGGCAGUUCCCUCCCUGGCUGCCCCACAGUGCCCUUUGUUGUUCACAGCCUUUCCCUGGGGCUCCCACCCAGAGCUCCACCUGAGCUUCCCCAGCCACCUGCACUGAAGGGAUUCCCGAAAAAAGGCUCAAAUAAGGGCAGCACUUGCAUUUCACAUCUACCCUCUCCAUUCACACAAUCACAGGCUGCUUUGGCUUGGGAGGGACUUUAAACUCAUCCAGUCCCACUGUCCCAGGUUGCUCCAAGCCCUGUCCAACCUGGCUUGGACACUCCCAGCUGCUCAGGUGCAUUAUGAUGAGGGCAGAGUUCCUUCAGAUGGGGAGCACAUUAUCUGUACAGCUAUUACUAACAGCUCCUUAACUCCAUUUUUAAGCAAGCCAGAACAUGAACCGAUUACAGAUCAUAAAAGGACUUAACAUUUGGAAGGGAAUUUGAGUCACAGUCAGUGAUUUUGUCACAAAGCUCAGCUGAGUGAACCACCCAGGCGGUGAAACACUUCCUAAAUGUAUCACCCACUAACUGUGGGCUGGAAGGGCACAACAAGGGUGAAAAGAAUGACUGGGAAAUAGCAAAACACAGCAAAGCUGCAGCAGGAGAAUAAGCAGCCAGUGUCCCCAGCUUCUUUUUGAAGCAGUUAAGAGUUGCUGCUCUUUUUGAGAUGACACCCAGCCUUAGGAGAGUGGGUCAGCAGUUCUGCACUGGAGCCACCUCAGCCUUUCAUUUCCACAGCUGGACCCGUUUAUCACAGCCCCACCUUCACCAGGCAAGGGAAAACUUUCAGUUUAAACAAAGCCCCC